UACAGAGGUGCCGAGCGUUAGGCGGAAUCACUGGGCUUAAAGCGUGUGUAGGCGGACUUCUAAGUACCUUGUGAAAUCCCACGGCUUACCCGUGGAACUGCUGGGUAUACUGGUCGUCUUGAGCCACCUAGGGGCCAGCGGAACAAAUGGUGGAGCGGUGAAAUGCGUAGAUAUCAUUUGGAACGCCAGCGGCGAAAACAGCUGGCUGGGGGUGUGCUGACGCUGAGGCACGAAAGCCAGGGGAGCAAACGGG
rnacentral:rRNA from 1 species